CUUUUUCUGCUACAAGGAAUUGAAGCAGGAGCAAUAUCAUCGGAGUAGGGAUCCCAGCCGCCAGAGGGAACAUCACAUGGUUGUCCUGGAGCUAGGUAUUGGAGAAUUGGCAUUUGGUGAGCAAAUUAAGAUAAAUAGGAGAUGCUAGGAACAAGAAGCGUGACAUGCUCCAGGGUUAUGGGAAAGACAAAUGUUAAAUGUUGAUAUUGUUUUUAGAAGCUUUACAAAGAUUUACCUCUGUUCAAAGACUGGUUCAUUCGGAUCGACAUGAGAGUCCAACUCUAUUGCAUUGCCAAAAUCCAUGUUGUAUAUUUGAAGCAGAUUGACCUCCUUGCUUCUCUCAUGGUACAACUCUCUUCUAGCUAAGCUCCCUUUCUUCUCGAUUUGUUUCUGCUUGUGGUUUACUG